rnacentral:rRNA from 1 species
UACGUGAAACCGCUUAGGGGUUAAACCCGAUGAACCUGAAUAUCUGAAAUGAGAAAUUCAUCAGUGAGUAUAUUUUAUUUAUAAAGUAUGGUUGCUGUGCAAUUUUCUCAUAGUAAGACAUUGCAAUUUAUUAGUAAAUAUAUGGAUUUUUAAUCCUUAUAGUUUAUUGUAAGACAAUAUUUACAUGUUUAUGUGAUUUAGUUUACUGUAAUAGGUAAACGGUCAUAUAAUGUAUAUUGUUGUCUAAAUAAACAACUGAUAAAUUUAUAUAUGAAAACUAUGCUGUUUUAACAAAAUUUAUUUUGUUAGUUAUGUUGUUUUGCAAUUUAAUUAUUGUAUGCAAUGGUAUUAGCAUAUGUUUGAUUAGCAAUGCGAUAGAUUUGGGAUACCUUCGGGACCCGUCUUGAAACACGGACCAAGAAGUCUAACAUAUGUGCAAGUCAUUGGGUAACUUAUUGAAACCUAAAGGCAUAAUUAAUAUAACUAUAUUAUAAUGGGAUUAGAAGUGAAUUAUUAUAUGCAAAUAUAUUAUUCAUUUUUCCAUCCCGGGGCGUUCAUUUAACAUAGUUUAAGCAAUUAAACUCACUGUUAAAGGGCGUACCUUGAGCAUAUAUGCUAUGACCGA